GGGGGGGAACGGUUUCAUUUUGGAAAAAUAAACAGAGCAUAAACAAAAUAUAUGUACAUAAUUAAGGAAAUUUGGAAAUAAUAGUAAUUUGGUAAUUAAUAAUAAAAGUAGGAAUGAGCGAGAAAGUAAAAAAAAAGAACCUGCAGAGAGAGACUGGAAUGCAACGUAGCAAAAAUACUGUCAUUGUAAAAACAUUGGCAAAAACACACUUAUUACGAAUACAACAGCUAACAGAAGCUUAUAUUUUCCAUGUGUAUACUUAUAUACAAGUAAAAAACAAAAAAAAAAAAAAAAAAACAUGCAUAGUUUCUGUUUUAUGGUAUUUAAUAGUACCAAGUCGUAUCAGAUUUUAGAACAUUCAUAUCGAAGUAAGCUAAUAGGAUUUUACACAGCUUAGUCGCAUCAGUUUCUUUUAGCAUAUGAUAAAAUUAUUACUAAAAACAUAUAAUGAAAUAUAAUGACUCAGAAGCUCUGAAUGACCCAAUAAUUGGUCCUAAGCAACUUGGAACAAUUUAGAGUUUCAGUUUGGAAGUGAAAUGCAGAGUGGAGUAUUGUAGAGUAUAGAGGAGUGGAGCAGAGUAUUUUAGAGUAUUAUGGAGGAGAGUAUUGUAGAGUGGAGUAGAAUAGAGUAUGUAUAGUGGAGCAGAAUAUUGUAGAGUAUAGUAGAGCAGAGCAUUGUAGCGUAGAGCAGAGUAUUGUAGAGCAGAGUAUUGUAAAGUAGAGCAGAGUGUUGUUAAGUAGAGCAGAGUGUUGUAGAGUAGAGCAGAGUAUUGUAGAGCAGAGUAUUGUAAAGUAGAGCAGAGUAUUGUAGAGCAGAGUAUUGUAAAUGGGAGCAGAGUGUUGUAGAGUAGAGCAGAGUAUUGUAGAGUAGAGCAGAGUAUUGUAGAGCAGAGUAUUGUAAAGUAGAGCAGAGUGUUGUUAAGUAGAGCAGAGUGUUGUAGAAUAGAGCAGAGUAUUGUAGAGCAGAGCAGAGUAUUGUAGAGUAGAGCAGAGUAUUGUAGAGUAGAGCAGAGUAUUGUAGAGCAGAGUAUUGUAAAGUAGAGCAGAGUGUUGUAGAGUAGAGCAGAGUAUUGUAGAGUAGAGCAGAGUAUUGUAGAGUAGAGCAGAGUAUUGUAGAGCAGAGUAUUGUAGAGUAGAGCAGAGUGUUUGUAGAGCAGAGUAUUGUAAAGUAGAGCAGAGUAUUGUAAAGUAGAGCAGAGUAUUGUAAAGUAGAGCAGAGUGUUGUAGAGUAGAGCAGAGUAUUGUAGAGCAGAGUAUUGUAGAGUGGAGCAGAGUGUGUAGAGUAGAGCAGAGUAUUGUAGAGCAGAGUGUUGUAGAGUAGAGCAGAGUAUUGUAGAGUAGAGCAGAGUAUUGUAGAAGCAGAGUGUUGUAGAGUAGAGCAUUGUAGAGUAGAGCAGAGUAUUGUAGAGUAGAGCAGAGUAUUGUAGAGUAGAGCAGAGUAUUGUAGAGCAGAGUGUGUAGAGUAGAGCAGAGUAUUGUAAAGUAGAGCAGAGUAUUGUAAAGUAGAGCAGAGUAUGUAGAGUAGAGAAGACUGUUGUAGAGCAGAGUAUUGUAGAGUAGAGAAGACUGUUGUAGAGCAGAGUAUUGUAGAGUAGAGAAGACUGUUGUAGAGCAGAGUAUUGUAGAGUAGAGAAGACUGUUGUAGAGCAGAGUAUUGUAGAGUAGAGCAGAGUAUUGUAGCAUGGAACAGAGUACUAUAGAGUAGAGAAGAACAGAGUAUUGUAGAGCAGAGUAUUGUAGCGUGGAACAGAGUACUGUAGAGCGGAGCAGAGUAUUGUAGAGCGGAGCAGAGUAUUGUAGAGCGGAGCAGAGUAUUGUAGAGCGGAGCAGAGUAUAGUAGAGCAGAGUAUAGUAGAGCAGAGUGAAGUAGAGUAUUGUAGAGUGGAAUAGAGUGGAGCAGAGUAUUGUAGAUUAGAGUGGAGUGGAGUAGAGUAUUGUACAGUAGAGUGGAACAGAGUAGAGUGGGUCACUCCAGAUCUUCUGUAUGUUCAGUAAGGCACUAAUAUACUGGCUUAGGGCACUUCACUAGUGCACUGCAAAGGGAAAAUUUCGGAAAUCUGGCUCAAUUUCCCUACGCGCGAUAUGUACAGCAAUGAAAAGAAAGAAAACGACACAAAUCGCAAGAAAAGAAUGUAAAUAAAAAGACGCACUGAAGUGCUAGUGUGUGAUCAUUUUAAUAUGAUUCACUUCUUCGACAAACCUGAACACGUUGUUAGUGCUCAAUAAUUUAAUGGCCGCGUUCUACAAAAGCCGAAGCCUCACAAUGAACGCCACCUUGGCUUCUAGUCACACAUCCCUGCAGCCUUACAUUGUUCUCUGUACACUGAAGACUACAGUGUACUACUUAACAUUACUGCGUUAGGUGUUACGGAUCUGUUCAAAUCUGUUUCUCAAAAACGUCACGGUGUCAAUUAGGCCGAUAAUCAGCUGUGUUAUAUACACAGUACAGUCCCCUCCAAAAGUAUUGGAACGGCAAGGCCAAUUCUAUUGUUUUCGCUGUACACUGAAGACAUUCGGGUUUGAGAUCAAAAGAUGAAUAAGACCGGCUUUUAUUUUCCUCAUGUUUACAUCCAGAUGUCUUAAACAACGCAGAACCUUUUGUUUGAAUCCACUCAUUUAUUCAAGCGGUCAAAAUAUUCAACAUGUGACAGAUAGGCAUUUCAUGCUGCUCAGGUGUGCCCUGUUAAACUAAUUGUGUAUAGAAUUAAUAAUCGCUGAACGUCUACUCUUGUUUCGAGCCCUAGGUUUCACCUGAUAAGACUGCAUUUGUUGUUCAAAAGGAUAAACCAACACGAAGACCUGAGAGCUGUCUAUGGGAGAAAA
ensembl:lncRNA